rnacentral:rRNA from 1 species
AGAGUUUGAUCCUGGCUCAGAAGGAACGCUGGCAGCGUGCAUAACACAUGCAAGUCGAACGCGAAAGAAUCCUUCGGGAUUUGGACGAGUGGCGAACGGGUGAGGAACACGUAAGAAUCUGCCCCUCGGUCGGGGACAACUUUUGGAAACGAAAGCUAAUACCCGAUACGCUGUGGAGUGAAAGAAUUUCGCCGAGGGAUGAUCUUGCGUCUGAUUAGCUAGUUGGUGCGGUAAUGGCGCACCAAGGCGACGAUCAGUAGCUGGUCUGAGAGGAUGAACAGCCACAUUGGAACUGAGACACGGUCCAAACUCCUACGGGAGGCAGCAGUGGGGAAUUUUCCGCAAUGGACGAAAGUCUGACGGAGCGACGCUGCGUGAAGGAUGACGGCCUGCGGGUUGUAAACUUCUUUUCUCGAAGAAGAAGCUCUGACGGUAUUCGAGGAAUAAGCAUCGGCUAACUCUGUGCCAGCAGCCGCGGUAAUACAGGGGAUGCAAGUGUUAUCCGGAAUUAUUGGGCGUAAAGCGUCUGCAGGUUGAUCUAUAAGUCUUUUGUCAAAUCUUUGGGCUUAACCCAAAAACAGCAAAAGAAACUAUUUAUCUUGAGUAUGGUAGAGGUAAAGGGAAUUUCCAGUGGAGCGGUGAAAUGCGUAGAUAUUGGAAAGAACACCAACAGCGAAGGCACUUUACUGGGCCAUUACUGACACUCAGAGACGAAAGCUAGGGUAGCAAAUGGGAUUAGAUACCCCAGUAGUCCUAGCCGUAAACGAUGGAUACUAGAUG